AGUGAGCGAGAAAGAAAUGCAAGAGAUAACGAAGGAAAAGGGUGUAAGCGUGUGGCUUCUGGCUUUCGGGUCUUUCUUCUUUUUUUCUGAAAGGGAGAGGCUUUGGGAUGGAGUAUCUAGAGAGCGGGAGAGAGAGAGUUGGAGGGGGCGUUUCUCCUGGCUAUGAUUAUCAGAUAUUUCCAAUACAUUGUCAACAUCGUGUCGUCUACUUGAGUGGGGGAAACUGACAAGACUAAAAACAAUUGAUGCCCUUAUCAGAGGCAGUGCGUGGUGGAUGGGGAAUCCAAUAAGAGUUUGUGAGGAAGUGGGCCUGGGCGACACCAUACCACACAUCAGAGGUCCAGCAGCAGCUCCUGUGGCUCGUGGCGAAUAAGGUCACAGCCAAAGAGCAAAUCCAAUAUCCAGACUGGCAGCCUGCCGAUUGACGACCUUCUCCUGGGCUGGAUGACUAUCCAGGACCUCCAUCCUCUUUGCCAGGGACAUCACACAAUCCACUCUCUUUUCCCUAUUCUUCCCCUGAACUUGACAGUGGUUCACUGUUCCUGUUGGCACACGCACAAAGAUUCAGAUAGUAUCUUGAAAUCUACUCUGCCCUCCAGCUAGUAGUGCUUAAGAUUCAUUGCUUAUCAUUACUGAGGAGGACACCCACAAUUGGCACAGCAGUAAGGUGACACAUUCACUGGAGAAUUUGGCUAGCAUGAGCCUAGAAUAGCUUCCUUAAAAUAGCUACUCUCAUACACAUAUCAUUAUCAUGAUCUAAUGGAUUUAAUUACGUUAAAGAAAUACAUGUUGCAAAAAUAAGAGUGACAAUGUGUGUAAAGAAUGUGUUACUGGCAAUUUUAGUAUGAUUUUGUUAGAAAUCACAUUUGUUUGACAGCCUUGAUUGUGGUAAACACAGCAACCUCCCAUCAUGCACCAGAAUAAAAUGAUUAGAAUGGUUUUGACUAGAUGAUAUACAGCUAUGGAUGAAAGUGACUUUUUUGUAGCAGGUUAGUAGAAUUUAAGCUGCAGGUUAAGAUAAUUUAGAAGUUUAGGAUAAUUAGAUGAAGGUUAUGAAAAGGGUUAGGGUUAGCUAAAAUGCUCUCCUAACCUGUUACGAAAAGUGACUUACGUCCAUAACUGUAUCCUAUCUAGUCACAACUGAUAAGAAUUGACCUGUUAAUACUACUGCUUAGUGCUGAUAGAAACAUGGUAAGACAACCAGGCAGCACUUUGGUGUCAAUUAUCUGCCAGUUAUUCUACAGGCUAUGUGCACAGAGCAAGCAUUCUGCAUUUUAAAUAUAAUUAUAAAAACACAUGCCCGGUAGAGACAUCUGUGGUAUGACCAAAGGUCAAUGCGGCAAUCUGAGGAAUUCACAUAGUUUAGCAGAAAGCAAACGUUAUGGAAUAAGCCAUGUACUUUACCACUGUACCAUAAUGGACUGUAUAGCAUACUGUUUUCCUCAUUUAGCUAAAAGCAGCCUUUAUGGAAUAAGUGGCUAUAUGUUAGAGACCUGCCAUAAGGAUUUCCUUUAUCUUUCUCUAGGCAUACCGAUAACAGUGGGCAUGGCGAAGCACUGCCCUCACACAGUUUAUGUAUGGCAUGUUUUGAAUGUUGCCUGCACUCAUGACCAUGAAACCUCAGGAAGGGAAACCGUAUUUCCCUUCAAUUUGAAACUGAACGUCAAUAAAACACGUGCUACUGUGUGCAAUAUUUCACGAUCAAUAAAGUGU